AACUGGUUUGUGACUAGACUGUACAUUGUCCAAUCGGACCCAAACUGCUCAGGGUUUACAAGGUCCCAGCCUGAAGACAUCCUCAUAUCAAUAUUGAGUUAUAUCCUAGUGCCCCCUACUGGCAACAAUAAGUUACAGUCAUGACACUUUGACGUCUUCUUCCUAGCUGGUUGACCAGAUUCACGUCAAAAUUUGGAUACCAUUUU